UAGAUGCAAGAGUUUGUGGAACAGUCUUCGU
rnacentral:piRNA from 1 species